rnacentral:rRNA from 1 species
GAUGAACGCUGGCGGCGUGCCUAACACAUGCAAGUCGAGCGAGAACCUUUGGAAUGAGAUUUCGGUCAAGUGAAGAAGGGGAAGGCGGCGGACGGGUGAGUAACGCGUGGGCAACCUGCCCCAUACAGAGGGAUAGCCUCGGGAAACCGGGAUUAAAACCUCAUAAAGCCAUUGAGUCACAUGUCACGAUGGCCAAAGAUUUAUCGGUAUGGGAUGGGCCUGCGUCUGAUUAGCUGGUUGGUGGGGUAACGGCCUACCAAGGCGACGAUCAGUAGCCGACCUGAGAGGGUAAUCGGCCACAUUGGAACUGAGACACGGUCCAAACUCCUACGGGAGGCAGCAGUGGGGAAUAUUGCACAAUGGGCGAAAGCCUGAUGCAGCAACGCCGCGUGAGCGAAGAAGGACCUUUGGGUCGUAAAGCUCUGUCCGAGGGGAAGAUAAUGACGGUACCCUUGGAGGAAGCCCCGGCUAACUACGUGCCAGCAGCCGCGGUAAU